rnacentral:rRNA from 1 species
GACGGGGGGUCCUAGCGUUGUUCGGAAUCAUUGGGCGUAAAGCGUGUGCAGGUGGUUUGGUAAGUUGGAUGUGGAAGCCCCGAGCUUAACUCGGGAAGUGCAUUCAAAACUACCAAACUUGAGUAUGGAAGAGGGUCGUGGAAUUCCAGGUGUAGUGGUGAAAUACGUAGAUAUCUGGAGGAACACCGGCGGCGAAGGCGGCGACCUGGUCCUAUACUGACACUCAUACACGAAAGCGUGGGGAUCAAACAGG